rfam:Ixodes scapularis strain Wikel colony gcontig_1108379705712, whole genome shotgun sequence.
CCCUGGUUAGCUCAGCUGGUAGAGCGCUCCACUGGGAAUGGAGAGGUUCCUGGUCCGAUACCAGGACCAGGCG